GCGGUUGUGGCGUAAUUGGUAGCCGCGCCAGACUUAGGAUCUGGUGUCGCAAGACGUGGGGGUUCGAGUCCCUUCAGCCGCAC
rnacentral:tRNA from 1 species